GCCGAGGUGACGGAAUGGUAGACGUAGCGGACUCAAAAUCCGCCGGGGUCACACCCGUGGGGGUUCGAGUCCCCCUCUCGGCACCA
rnacentral:tRNA from 1 species